rnacentral:lncRNA from 1 species
AUGUCAGUGGUGCCGCCUGAUACUCGCAGAUCCAUGCAAGUCCAGCCACAGGGCCUUGUCACUCCGCUGCCAACUCCCUGGGCUUCUGCCUCAGUGUCUGCUGUGAAAGGGGUGACACCUUGUGCUAGAGGAACACCCCAGGGUGCCACUGCUCUUCAGACUGUGUGCAGGGCAGACCCUGGCACAGCCUGGAGCCUCAGCUGGAGUCCCAUGGAGGGACAGGUGCGUCCGAACCCCUCUGUUGGCGGUGGCCAUGUUCCUCAUCAGGAAACUGAGAAUGGAAAGAGCAGCGAUGUAAUUGGGGCACCUGAGAAUUCAAUGGGAAAAGCCAAGUCUUGGUCACCUGGUUCCUGGGUAACCAACCUCUGGACCAAAGAAGACUCACCACUUAAAUCCCAGGACAAAUCCCUUCUCAGCUUUGCAUAGGGAUAUUUGAUCAUCUAGGGAGCAUCUCUAGAAGCUGGCCAGACAGAGUUGAUAAGCCCUGGAUCGACGUGAUCUCAUCCACCUUCAAGACUGAGGACACCCAGAUAAAAGGUUUACAGGGACAUUCAACUAUGCGCAGAAGUCUCCAGCCAUUAUCCUAAACCUGUGAUCAUCUGGACUCCAGGAAAAGCAGAGCCCCACCUGACUGAAACCACCACUAACUGAGACAAUCCUUUCCUGGGAAUGGAACCAACCCUCAGCCAGGAUUCCAGAGCUAUGAAGCCAGGACUGAGAUAACAAUCACCUGGACCCCAGCGUGCCAACAGACCCUUCCUUCAAAGCUGGCCUCUCGCACUUGUGGGUGAGCCAGUCUGAACCCCUGUGUCAGACUCUACCUCCUCCACCUACUCCAGCUAAAGUCUUUUCCUGUCUUCCUUCCAACUUUGUAAUUAAAGAUUUUCUUUUCCUAUACAUGUGUGCUUUAGUUUUAAUUUUCAU